rnacentral:rRNA from 1 species
UACGGGGGGAGCAAACGUUGUUCGGAAUCACUGGGCGUAAAGGGAGCGUAGGCGGCCAUGUAAGUGAGGUGUUAAAUCCCCCGGCUCAACCGGGGACCUGCACCUCAUACUGCACGGCCUGAGUACAUCAGAGGAGACUGGAAUUCCCGGUGUAGCGGUGAAAUGCGUAGAUAUCAGGAGGAAUACCGGUGGCGAAAGCGACUCUCUGGACGGUUACUGACGCUGAGGCACGAAAGCGUGGGGAGCAAACAGG